CGCGCGCAUCCUAGAGGCCGGACUGGCUGGGACCAGGGCGGGCCGGGACAAAGCCUGGGCCGGGCCUGCGCUUCCGUUCGCUUGACUGGCUGCGCUUGUUUUCAGGGUUUUGGUCUGAAAACGGAUCUUACCUGCGCAGAGCAAAAUCGGUUGUAGAUUAUAUCCACGAAAAUUCCUUCUAUUAAAAUGAAUUUCAAGUCCCACCUACCCUGGAAGCAGAAAGAGAGAGAAGAGAGAGAGUAAAGAGAAAGAGAAAAGAAAGAGAAGUUGAAAAAGAGAAAGAAAACCAAGAAAGAAAGAGAAAAAAACCGAAAAUAAAUGGACAAGAAAGAAAAACGGUGAAGGUCAACCCUGUGCUCAAUUCCAGAGACUUUCCUAGGGACAUCGUGUUGGGCAUGGAGGACUAAGGCCAGUGUGAAGAUAAGUCACCGAUUCUUUAAAAAAAAAAAGCCAGUAACUUAUAAAAAUAGCCAUAAACGACGUAGUUUUUUGUUGUUGUUGUUGUUUUGAGACAGCGUCUCCCUCUGUCCCCCAGGCGGGAGUACAGUGGCAGGCACUCAGCUCACUGUAACCUCCGCCUCCUGGGUUCAAGUGAUUCUCUUGCCCCAGCCUCCAGAGUAGCCACCACGCCCGGUCCAACUUAGUUUUUUAAUACUUUUUAAAAUUUUAAGACAGGGUCUCUGCCACCGAGGCUGAAAUGCAGUGGCGCAAUCAUAGCUCACUGCAACCUUGACUUCCUGGGGUCCUGGGCAGGUGACCCCCUGUCUCAGCCUGCCGAGUAGCUGUGAGUAAAGGCCUGUGCCUCUCCACUGUGCUAAUUUUCUACUGUUUGUUGCUUUGUUUUUAAUAGAGAUGUAGUCUGGUUUUGUUGCCCAGGCUGGUCUCCAGCUUCUAGCCUCAAGCAGUCUUCCCAUCUGCUCCUACCAAAGUGCUCGGAUUAUAGGCAUGAAUCACCUUGCAUGGGAGAUAAGGACCCCCACAUCAAGCCCUCAGGUCACUGGGAUCCUGGACUACGGCACUGCUCCAGGCAGGCCUGGUUAUCCUGCUUGAGGCAGCAAUCCUCUUGAGCCUAGUGAAAUGCAACUGGCUGUACCUCAAUGAUGUUGCCCUGAGAUUCUGCCAGUCGAGGUAUUACUUCAAUCUCCUGAGACCAGCCUCUACCUCCAGAUCCAGGGAGGCCAACGUGCCAUGCAUCCCUGGAGCAUGAAACCCAGGAUGGGCCGCCUUCCAGCCUCCCACAGCUGUGAUGCAAGUUGAACACAUACAGAGAGACUGCAUCUGCACUGGGUGGUUUUCCUGAGCCUUGGGGAGCAGAAUGCAUGAAUCCCAGGUAUCUGCCGAUCUGUAUGUAACAAAUUCACUUCAUGUAACUUACUGUGUGUCCGUGAGAUUAUCUCUCACUCAACUCAGACACAUUGGCAACCAGUGUGCAGUGAACCUGCUUCACAAGCAAGGAUGUGGAGAAACUAUUUUCGUACAUUUUGUGGGAAUCUGAAAUACUGCGGUCAGUAUGGAAAGCAGUAUCAUGGGAAACUUCCUCAACUCAAGAUCACCUACCAAUCCUUACAGAAUCAGAAUCAUCAUACAAACUGGUGAAAGCAUAGUUUCCCCUAGAGGUUGGGAUGAGGGCAAGAAUGUCCCCUCUUAUCACUACUAUUCCACACAAUAUGAAAGGUUCCAGCCAGUGAAAUAAAGGAAAAAGAAAUAAAAGUGACAGGCUGGGUGUGGUGUCUGAGGCCUGUAAUCACAGUGCUUUGGGAGGCUGAGGAAGGAGGGUGGCCUGAGGACAGGACAAAAAAAAUAGUGUACCAACAGAAAAUAUGUUGGUUGUGCAGGCUAAUACCUUUCCCAAAGGAAGGUAGCUACAUCCCUAUGACCUGUGUUACUGGAUAUAUCAAAAGGGAGUUUGCAAAUGUGGUCUAGAUAAGGAUCUUUAGAUAGACAUCCUGAAUUAUAUGGUCAAAGUGAUAGAAUCACAAGGUUCAAUAUCAG
rnacentral:lncRNA from 1 species